GCUUAUGCCUGUAAUCCCAGUAUUUUGGGAGGCCAAGGUGGGUGGAUCACUUGAGGUCAGGAAUUUGAGACCCGUCUGGUCAAAAAGGUGAAACCCCAUCUCUAUUAAAAAUACAAAAAUUAGCCAGGUGUGGUGGCAGUUGCCUGUAAUCCCAGCUACUCGGAAAGCUUGGACAUGAGAACUGCUUGAGGUGGAGUUGCAGUGAGCUGAGAUCUGCCACUGAACUCUAGCCUGGGUGACAGGCCAGAGUGAGACAUAAAAAAAAAAGAAAGAAGAAGGCAUUCUUAUUUUAAAUGGAAUUUACAUAUACGCACACCUCAUUGCUUAAAUGGAUCUGGUUAUUGUUUUCAAGAGACAUCUGCUUGUUAGUCUGCCACACUUGAGAAAAUAAUUAAAUUGCAACAAUGACAAUCUUAGAGAAAAUGACACCACAUUCAAUGAACACACUGAAACCAGCUACAGGAGCACCUGCUAUGGAAAAGAGAGGAAAUACACAUGUACAGACUCAGUAGGUUGUACUAUUUGCUUUGUUUGACUGUUGCUGAAACCUAAAGAGAAAAGAAGUUGAGUGUGUGGGGUGGAAUGUAAAGGAAGGGUGGGGAGAUAUGGCAGAAGUGGAGUUGUGAAGGUAAUAGAAACUGAUGUUUAUUCCUGAGAUUAUGACUUCAAUUAAUUAAGAGACUACCAACUACUGUGAAUAAAACCCACAAUUGCGGCCAGGCAUGGUGGCUCACACCUGUAAUCCUAGCACUUUGGGAGGCUGAGGUGGGCAGAUUGCUUGAGCUCAAGAGUUCGAGACUAGCGUGGGCAACACGGUGAAACCCUGUCUUUACUAAAAUACAAAAAAUUAGCCGGGUAUGGCAGUGUGUGGCUGUAGUCCCAGCUACUCAGGAGGCUGAGGCAGGUGAAUUGCUUGAACCUGGGAGGUGGAGGUUGCAGUAAGCUGAGAUUGCACCACUGCACUCCAGCCUGGGUGACAGAGUAAGACUCCAUCUCCAAAAAACAAACAAACAAAAAAACCCAAAACAUAAAACAAACCCGUAAGUGCUAGUGAUGGUAGUGGUGGCCCAUCUGGAGAGGUUGCUGCAAACAGACCAGCUGUGGCAGGUGAGGUGAAGGCUGGGCUGUGCACUUCAGGGAGCUGGCGGGAGCUGGGAACAGGUGAGAACCCUGCACCCUUCUGAGUUGGUGGGGUGGGAGCCCCACCCCCCCAGGUGCAGCAGCAGCCCCCCAGCUACAGCUGUGGACCUGGACAUUCCUAUGCUCUCAGGGUCAUGGGAACCCUCCCUGCCCCUGCAGGUUCAGAAGUGCCUACUCUUGCUGCCUGAUCUCUCCCCACUCCCAGCACCCACUCUCAUUUAGGAGCAAAGUUGAAGCCGAGCCCGAGUGUUGUGUGUGUGCUUGAAGCAGUGAUGAUAUGACAGCCCCCUGCCGCCUUGGCAUCCUCUGGACUUUGGGCACUGACAAGAAUGGGAGAGAGGCCGAGGGGGGACUGAGGGCAGCUAGGUGCAGGCCUGCAGAUGCCCCUCAGUACAGCCUGAGCACCAUGGAUGAUGUAAUUGAUGGUGGCAGGAGGCAGACAGGCUCCUGGGUGGAAAGGAGCAAGCCCCCAGUGAAACCCCAUGUUCAAGCCAGGGAUGGUCUGAAGCCUGGAGCCUGGGCUGCCUGUUCCAUAGCCAGGCAUGAAAACUUAUGGUGCUUUUUCCAGGCCCACCCAUGGCUGCUCAUGGACCAGUCAGCAUGCACUUCCUCCCUUCUGAAGCCCAUAAAAACCCUGGACUUAGCCAGAUUUGGAAAGAUGACAAGAUGACCUGCCCAUGGAUAGGAGCUACCCACUCUGGGUCUCCUCUCCACUGAGGGCUGCACAGAUGUUGGGAUGACCUGACUACAGGUAGAAGCUACCCACUCCAGGUCUCCGCUCUGCUGAGGGGUGGAGAGAUGUCAUCAGGAUGACUGCCUGCAGAUAGGAGCUACCCACUCCAGGUAGCCUGAGAGCUGUAAUAUUGCUCAAUAAAGCAUUCCUUUGCCUUGUUCACUCUCCAGUUGUCCAUGUACCUCACUCUUCCUUGAAGCAGGACAAGAAUUUGGGACCCACUGAAUGGCAGAACUGAAAGAGCUGUAACACAAACAGGGCUGAAACACACCCUGCUGCUUGCCACAGUGUGGGCAAUGAGGAGAGAAGAGUUGUGGCCUUUCCAGGAACACAGAUGUAAGGGCUCCCUGAACCAGGGCUGAGGCACUCUCUUCGGGGCUCUGCAGUUCCUGGCAUCUUCAUGCUUCCAGGUGCUACUGCAUUCUCCUCAUUUAGAUAUGGGCGCCCACAGCAGAAGCUGCUUGCAGAGCAUCUGAUUCAGCUGCAGGGUUGCACAGAGGUGGCACCUGGGGCUGCCUGACCUGCCACAGCAGCCAGCGCGCCUGGCUAUGUGCAGUAACUGGAUCCCAUGCUCACUUGCUCAUGCACCCCUUGCUGCUCCACUCCAUGCCUUGGAAGGCAUGGGGUCUUGGCUGGCAGCCAAACUGAGAGCAGCCUGCCAGGCUGAGUGGGCAGAACAAGCCCAGUGGGCCGAGUAAAAUUCAGGCAAAGGUGCUACUGGCCACAGAGGCUUCUGACUGGAAAAGUGACAACCUAAGGAUCUUGUGACAUUUUUAGGGGCUCAUCCAGGAUCUGUGGAAGGGCCCACCCAUAAACCAAUCAGCACUCACUUCUUCCCUUCUGAAGCCUAUAAAAAUCCUGGACUCAGCCAGACUCACAGAGACAUUGGGAUGACCUGCCUGGGGAAAGGAGCUAUCCACUCCUGGACUCCUCUCUGCUGAGGGCUCCACAAAUGUCAGGAUGACCUGCCUGCAAAUAGGAGGUACUGGGUCUCUUCUCCCCUGAGGGCCACAGACAACCUGCCUGUGGAUGGGAGCUAACCACUCUGGGUCUCCUGAGAGCUGUACUGUUGCUGUACUGUACUGAGAGCUGUACUGUACUGAGAGCUGUACUGUUGCUCAAUAAAGCAGCCCUUCACCUUGCUCACUCUCUAGUUAUCAUUCUUCCUGAACUUCCAAGAACUCAGGACCUGUCAAAUGAAAGAGCUGUAACACAAACAGGACUGAAACACAGCUCCCCGACUCAUCAAGUUGUGGGUGAUGAGAAGGAAAGAAGAGCUGCGGCCCUUCUGGGAGCUCAGGGAGUGGUGCACUCGAGAUGACACCCUCUUUGGGGUCUCUGCGAUUUCUGGAGUCUUCAACCUUCUGAGUGCCACCAUGUUCCCCUCAUCCAGAGGUGGGUGCCCACAAUGGAACCUGCUUGUGGUGCAUCUAAUCCAGCUGCAGGCUUGCAUGAAGCUGGCACCUAUGCCAGCUCCUGGAGCUGCCCGCCCCUCUGCAGCUGCCAGCUUGCCUGGCUGUGUGCAAUGGCUGGACCCUGCACUCACUCACUCACAUACCUCUUGCCUCUAUGCAUCUAGCUCACCCUUGGCAAGCAUGGGAUCUGGGCCAGUAGCAUGAGCUAAGUGCAGACUUCCAGGAUGAGUGGGAAGAACAAGUCCAGUGGGUCUGAGUAAAACUAAGGCAAAGGUGCCACUAGCCACAUUGGCUUGUGGCUGGAAAAGUGACACCUUAAGGAUCCUGUG
rnacentral:lncRNA from 10 species